AUUCUUUCUUUCCGCAAGAACAUCGCAUUAAUUUUUUCUUUCCCCCAACAAGAUCGCAUUAGUUUUCUUUCGUGGAAACCUCUCGCUAUUGGUGCAAGAGAUCGACUACGAGUCAGGAAAGAAGUUUUAUUGGCUGGAGACACUAAAACUUCUUCAUGUUUGUGUGAUUAUGGAGAAAUAAUUUUGGGCUAUGCAAGGGAUUGGCCAUAUGAUUCACCAAGAAAAGAAAUGAGAGCAAGAGGAAGGGUCACAAGUGCGAUAGAAUAUCAGCAGAGAAGAGGGCAAAAACUGCUGAACUUAAGAAGAAAAUGCCAGAAAUGUUACUGAAAUACAAGAAGAGCAGAUGGGAAAAGAAGAUGAAAGAGGAGGAUUCAAGGGAUUCAUAAUAUUGGGAUGCCGAGAAAUUCCUGGUUUCUUUCUGUGUGUGGGUGCGUGGUAUCAUGUUGCUUUACUUCAAUGAGUCACUUGUUUUAAACUUUAUUGUCUUUUAGUUUUAUAGUGGAUGUUUGUGGCUGAGUUUUUGAAGGCUGUAUUAAUGAGAUUAUGAAUCAAAUUGGCAUUUGUCGUGAUAUUAAGCAGUGAUCCAAAAAUAGGAAUCAGGCCCUGAAUUGCUAGUC